UACAGAGGUCUCAAGCGUUGUUCGGAUUCAUUGGGCGUAAAGGGUGCGUAGGUGGCGCUGUAAGUCGGGUGUGAAAUUUCGGAGCUUAACUCCGAAACUGCAUUCGAAUACUGCGGUGCUUGAGGACUGGAGAGGAGACUGGAAUUCAUGGUGUAGCAGUGAAAUGCGUAGAGAUCAUGAGGAAGACCAGUGGCGAAGGCGGGUCUCUGGGCCGAUACUGACGCUGAGGAGCGAAAGCGUGGGGAGCGAACAGG
rnacentral:rRNA from 1 species